AGCGAACGCUGGCGGCAGGCCUAACACAUGCAAGUCGAACGAACCUUUCGGGGUUAGUGGCGGACGGGUGAGUAACACGUGGGAACGUGCCUUUAGGUUCGGAAUAACUCAGGGAAACUUGUGCUAAUACCGAAUGUGCCCUUCGGGGGAAAGAUUUAUCGCCUUUAGAGCGGCCCGCGUCUGAUUAGCUAAUUGGUUGAGGUAAUGGCUCACCAAGGCGACGAUCAGUAGCUGGUCUGAGAGGAUGAUCAGCCACAUUGGGACUGAGACACGGCCCAAACUCCUGCGGGAGGCAGCAGGGGGGAAACUUGCGCAAUGGGCGAAAGCCUGACGCAGCAAUGCCGCGUGAAUGAUGAAGGUCUUAGGAUUGUAAACCGCUUUCGCCUGUGACGAAGCGUGAGUGACGGUAAUGGGUAAAGAAGCACCGGCUAACUACGUG
rnacentral:rRNA from 1 species